rnacentral:rRNA from 1 species
GACGAACGCUGGCGGCGUGCCUAACACAUGCAAGUCGAACGGGAUCCAAGGAGUGCUUGCACUCCUGAAGAUCUAGUGGCGAACGGGUGAGUAACACGUGAGAAACCUGCCCCAGACUCUGGGAUAACCCAAGGAAACUUGAGCUAAUACCGGAUAUUCUCCUUUGGUCGCAUGGCCAGUUGAGGAAAGUUUUUCGGUCUGGGAGGGUCUCGCGGCCUAUCAGCUUGUUGGUGGGGUAACGGCCCACCAAGGCGACGACGGGUAGCUGGUUUGAGAGAACGAUCAGCCACACUGGAACUGAGACACGGUCCAGACUCCUACGGGAGGCAGCAGUGGGGAAUCUUGCGCAAUGGGCGAAAGCCUGACGCAGCAACGCCGCGUGCGGGAUGAAGGCCUUCGGGUUGUAAACCGCUUUCAGCAGGGACGAAAAUGACGGUACCUGCAGAAGAAGCCCCGGCUAACUACGUGCCAGCCGCCGCCGUAACAC